rnacentral:rRNA from 1 species
AUUGAACGCUGGCGGAAUGCUUUACGCAUGCAAGUCGAACGGCAGCACGGACUUCGGUCUGGUGGCGAGUGGCGAACGGGUGAGUAAUGUAUCGGAACGUGCCCAGUCGUGGGGGAUAACGUAGUGAAAAUUACGCUAAUACCGCAUACGAUCUAUGGAUGAAAGCGGGGGAUCGCAAGACCUCGCGCGAUUGGAGCGGCCGAUAUCAGAUUAGGUAGUUGGUGGGGUAAAGGCCCACCAAGCCAACGAUCUGUAGCUGGUCUGAGAGGACGACCAGCCAAACGGGAACUGAGACACGGUCCAGACUCCUACGGGAGGCAGCAGUGGGGAAUUUUGGACAAUGGGCGAAAGCCUGAUCCAGCCAUUCCGCGUGCAGGAUGAAGGCCCUCGGGUUGUAAACUGCUUUUGUACAGAACGAGAAGGUUUCUACUAAUACUAGGAGCUCAUGACGGUACUGUAAGAAUAAGCACCGGCUAACUACGUGCCAGCAGCCGCCGCGG